GUGGGGAAUCUUCCGCAAUGGACGAAAGUCUGACGGAGCAACGCCGCGUGAGUGAAGAAGGUUUUCGGAUCGUAAAGCUCUUUCGUUAGGGACGAACGUGCUCUUUGUGAAUAAUGAGGAGUAAUGACGGUACCUAAAUAAGAAGCCACGGCUAACUACGUGCCAGCAGCCGCGGUAAUACGUAGGUGGCAAGCGUUGUCCGGAAUUAUUGGGCGUAAAGCGCGCGCAGGCGGGAUAUCAAGUCUGUCUUAAAAGUGCGAGGCUCAACCUCGUGAGGGGACAGAAACUGGUAUUCUUGAGUGUCGGAGGGGAAAGUGGAAUUCCAAGUGUAGCGGUGAAAUGCGUAGAGAUUUGGAAGAACACCAGUGGCGAAGGCGACUUUCUGGACGAUGUCUGACGCUGAGGCGCGAAAGCUAGGGGAGCGAACGGGAUUAGAUACCCCAGUAGUCC
rnacentral:rRNA from 1 species